rnacentral:lncRNA from 1 species
GUACUCCUCAGAAGCUCUGCACUGCAGCGUGUGUGCUUGUGGGGACGCAGGGACUGCCUCUGAUCCACUACCACAACUCUGCGCUUCAGGAAGUCACUGGAGAGCAGCACAGCUCUUUCCCAGGAGAGGUCACAGGGGAAUUCUCUUCUGCCAUCUCUAAAGAGCAUGACAAAUGUUACUCUAGCAAAGAAACGAAUUGUUCAGUGCAAAUCUACUUGGCAAUUGCCUUGCCAUAAAGGUAUUUACAGCAGGGCUGCUCGCAGUGUGCUUGACUCACUCAUGCGGGGCAAUGCAGCGCUUCUUCCUGAAGAGCUCCUGAUCUCAGUCCCAGGGCAUCUGGGCAUCUGAGAUGGGUGCAGCAUUUAGAGGUGCAGCAUCUCAUGCUGAUAGGAUCAAGCAACAAUGUCAGCUUGGGGGACAAGCAGCCAGGGCAAAGGAGAAGAUCGGACCUUGGCCUCUUCAACUCAGAUGUGCUCUGUCCCUCCAGCAGUGAGGGAGAAUAUCAAAGGGGAGGAUAUAGCCUGCAAAUCUUCUGUCUUGAUCGAAAUGAAGACCUUUCCACAGCCCACACCUCUGAAUCAAAGGGGGCAAGUUCAUCCCCUUCCUCCCAGUUGUCAGGCUGUUGGGAAUUAGUUGGGAUAGCCCUUAUCAAAGGAAAUGUGUCCCUUUCCUUAAGCUUGUCUGCUCGGUGUUGUCGUGUAAACACAGAUCAAUAA